AUUCAGUUGACGAGUCCCAAAUAGGACGAAACACGCGUCAAACUGGAU
rnacentral:hammerhead_ribozyme from 1 species